rnacentral:rRNA from 1 species
GACGAACGCUGGCGGCGUGCUUAACACAUGCAAGUCGAACGGAAAGGCCUGUCCUUCCUUGUGUUGGACGGGUACUCGAGUGGCGAACGGGUGAGUAACACGUGAGUGAUCUGCCCCCAACUUGGGUAUAAGCCUGGGAAACUGGGUCUAAUUCCCGAUAGGACUGCAGGGUGGUGCCUGUGGUGGAAAACGAUUUUCUAGUGGUUGGGGAUGAGCUCGCGGCCUAUCAGCUUGUUGGUGGGGUAAUGGCCUACCAAGGCGGCGACGGGUAGCCGGCCUGGGAGGGUGGACGGCAACAUUGGGACUGAGAUACGGCCCAGACUCCUACGGGAGGCAGCAGUGGGGAAUAUGGCAAAAUGGGCGGAAGCCUGAUGCAGCGACGCCGCGUGGGGGAUGACGGCCUUCGGGUUGUAAACUCCUUUCGACCGCGAGGAAGCCGCCUGGUUGGAAGGGUGGUGACGGUAGUGGUAGAAGAAGCACCGGCUAACUACGUG